rnacentral:lncRNA from 1 species
GGCUGGCUCGGCAGCUCCAGGCUAUUCCGAGGAAGAGUCUUCAGAGAGCCUGGGUGCUGAUGGGGAAAAGCUGUUGCUGAGAUUUGACAAGUUUGGUCCUGAGAUGUCAGAAAGGAUUUCAGCUCUUCUGCCACCCCAAGGACGGUGGCGUGUAAAUCACAGUGAGCUGGCUUAUGUGAGGUCGACUGUGGAAUUUGAUCCUAGCGCAUUGCUACCUCCUCUUCCUUGCCUGCGUCUCUCCCUCUCGCAGCUCUAGUUUGAGAUCGGCACAGAUUCCCCGGGUGAUUUUUGAGAAAACUGCCUCCUCUUUAGGACUUGGCAUCCCCUAAUCUGCAUCAGGAAAGGGUGGCGACUGAUACUCUCACACCCAGGGAGCCUGCAAGGCCCACCCUCUACCCUCCACCUGGGUUCUCUGGCAUUGAGACUUGUGCCCUACAGUUUUGGGCCAUUGGGGUGAUGUCCCAGUGGGACCAGGGUGAGGGUGCAGGUAUCUGAGGGCGUAGUAGGACCAGAACCUCUAACCUUAGGGAGGCUUCCUGGGAGCCAAGCUUGGUGACUUAGAAUGUGAAUGUCUGACCCAUAUCCCACUAUCUUUUGGUGGGUGCUGCAGAGGACAAUGGAGAGAGAUUCAACUCUGAAGAGUGGUCUUGUGAAAGAGGCUGCUGGCUUGUUCGGUGUGGCACUGGCAGCCUCCCUAAGGUUCCCAGGUAGAAGUUUCUGACAGGUAGAUUUCAGCUGUGUUUAAGGAAGAACUUUGAAGUUGUCAGAAUGAGCUGUCUUGUGAUAGUGAGCUCCCUGUCUCCAGAGGUAUGCAAGCAGGGCACUUUCACUUAUGCAUUCAAGCUGACCUAUGCAAGGCGUUGUGCUAAGCGCUGGGAGUGGCAGAGGAGAACAAGACCCAGUGGGGAAACACGCACUUGCAACGCUGCUGUGAGGGUGAGCAGAGAAGGACAUGUUGCAGAAGAAAUGCAAGUACAGUGAAGAAUAAGACUGGGGAACUUUUACAAUUCAGAGUGGCCUUCACUGUGGGUGGUCUGAAUUGAUGCUUGUAUACAGGUGCUUCUGGGGUGACAUUUCCCUGCCCCAUGGAGCUCCGGGAGGAGUGCGGACCAACCCCUUCUUUGCAGGCCUGUCUGUGGGGUGCCACUCCUCCUCCCACCUCCCCACCGCACAGGCAGCCCAUCAGUGUCCCUGAGCUGCUCCAGAAGGAUGCAGCUCUGAGGAGGCUCUGGGACCGGCGUAUCCUAGCAACCUCUGAGGCUGGCAUCUGCAGGGCUAGGCCCAGACUCAAGGCUCUUUCUAAUUUGCCAGCCUUCCCUUAAUGAUAAGCUUUCCCACACGGAUGUGGGGGUGGGGAGGAAGAGGGGAGAAGUGGGCAGGAAGUGUUGCCUCCAACCCCAUCACAGAGUAGGUCAAGCUUCGCCCACAAUACUGCCGGGGAUGGGUAAGGAGGGAGGGCAAAGUGAGUCCCUUAACUGAAUAUGCCACUUGUCCAUCACUGUGGCCAGUUUAUCACCAUUUAGAGGACAAUGAAUCCAGGCAGUGAUCCACCAAUGAUAACUAACAUCAUAAAAAGAUACAUGGCCGGAUAUGAUGUUCCUUCUGACGGAAGACCACAACACCAGCUGAAAAAUCAAACCUGAAUCGGAUCAAGCCUCUAGAGAAAGCAGCACCCAGGGUCAUUCCUGGAGCAUAAACGAUCCCUGCAGAACAUGGGCUAGAAGACCCCACAGUGGGGUAGAGGCAGGUCCUGGACUGGGAUCCCAGCAGUGAGAAGACCUGGACAUCAACCCUAUUUCAUUGUGUGGCCUCUGCAAAUCUCCCAACUUUUGGAGCUGUAGCUGCAAGCUUAGACUUGUGGUUUCCUGUACCUGGAGGAGGCCCAGGUCAUUCUGUUAAGUCCCUUGUCUAUUUCCUGUUUUUAUCUGGAUGCUGAGUUAAUUACUUGAUCCAACAAUAAAACUAACAAGGUUUU